CUACGGGCGGCAGCAGUGGGGAAUAUUGCACAAUGGGCGCAAGCCUGAUGCAGCCAUGCCGCGUGUAUGAAGAAGGCCUUCGGGUUGUAAAGUACUUUCAGCGGGGAGGAAGGGAGUAAAGUUAAUACCUUUGCUCAUUGACAUUACCCGCAGAAGAAGCACCGGCUAACUCCGUGCCAGCAGCCGCGGUAAUACGGAGGGUGCAAUCGUUAAUCGGAAUUACUGGGCGUAAAGCGCACGCAGGCGGUUUGUUAAGUCGGAUGUGAAAUCCCCGGGCUCAACCUGGGAACUGCACCUGAUACUGGCAAGCUUGAGUCUCGUAGAGGGGGGUAGAAUUCCAGGUGUAGCGGUGAAAUGCGUAGAGAUCUGGAGGAAUACCGGUGGCGAAGGCGGCCCCCUGGACGAAGACUGACGCUCAGGUGCGAAAGCGUGGGGAGCAAACAGGAUUAGAUACCCCCGUAGUC
rnacentral:rRNA from 1 species